rnacentral:rRNA from 1 species
UACGUAGGGGGCAAGCGUUGUCCGGAAUCAUUGGGCGUAAAGCGAGCGUAGGCGGCCCGAUAAGUCUGCUGUAAAAGUCAACGGCUCAACCGUUGAAAGCCGGUGGAUACUGUCGGGCUAGAGUUCGGAAGAGGCAAGUGGAAUUCCUGGUGUAGCGGUGGAAUGCGCAGAUAUCAGGAGGAACACCUAUAGCGAAGGCAGCUUGCUGGGACGAUACUGACGCUAAGGCUCGAAAGCGUGGGGAGCGAACAGG